rnacentral:rRNA from 1 species
UACGUAGGGGGGCUAGCGUUGCUCGGAAUUACUGGGCGUAAAGGCGCGUAGGCGGCUUAGUUAGUCAGGCGUGAAAUUCCUGGGCUCAACCUGGGGACUGCGCUUGAUACGGCUAGGCUAGAGGAUGGAAGAGGGUCGCGGAAUUCCCAGUGUAGAGGUGAAAUUCGUAGAUAUUGGGAAGAACACCGGUGGCGAAGGCGGCGACCUGGUCCAUUACUGACGCUGAG